AGAAACCCUAAGAAGGGGAAAAGUAAUUUGGGUCUUUCUUGCAGAGAGCCGGUGGUGGCUGCGAACCGGUAGAGGACACAAGUGAAUUCCUCCCCGGAGGGGAUCUGCCGAAACACAGCGAGAUAAGAGAGAAGGCUGUUAUUAGGUAGAUACGGGAAGACACCCGUUAUAACAAUUGAGUGGAUUAGAAUAGUUUUUCUAAUCAACUAGGGUGGCAACGCGGGAGAUAUACCUCUCGUCCCUAUC
rnacentral:ncRNA from 1 species